rnacentral:rRNA from 1 species
UACGUAGGGUCCGAGCGUUUGUCCGGAAUUAUUGGGCGUAAAGGGCUCGUAGGCGGUUUGUCGCGUCGGGAGUGAAAACUCAGGGCUCAACCCUGAGCGUGCUUCCGAUACGGGCAGACUAGAGGUAUGCAGGGGAGAACGGAAUUCCUGGUGUAGCGGUGGAAUGCGCAGAUAUCAGGAGGAACACCGGUGGCGAAGGCGGUUCUCUGGGCAUGACCUGACGCUGAGGAGCGAAAGCAUGGGGAGCGAACAGG